rnacentral:rRNA from 2 species
AUUACCCGCUGAACUUAAGCAUAUCAAUAAGCGGAGGAAAAGAAACCAACAGGGAUUGCCCCAGUAACGGCGAGUGAAGCGGCAACAGCUCAAAUUUGAAAUCUGGCCCCUCCCCCGGGGGGGCCCGAGUUGUAAUUUGCAGAGGAUGCUUCUGGCGAGGUGCCUUCCGAGUUCCCUGGAACGGGACGCCGCAGAGGGUGAGAGCCCCGUCUGGUCGGACAACCGAGCCUCUGUGAAGCUCCUUCGACGAGUCGAGUAGUUUGGGAAUGCUGCUCUAAAUGGGAGGUAUAUGUCUUCUAAAGCUAAAUACCGGCCAGAGACCGAUAGCGCACAAGUAGAGUGAUCGAAAGAUGAAAAGCACUUUGAAAAGAGGGUUAAACAGUACGUGAAAUUGUUGAAAGGGAAGCGCUCAUGACCAGACCUGGUCCCGGCGAAUCACCCGGCGUUCUCGCCGGUGCACUUCGACGGGCUUCCAGGCCAGCAUCAGUCCGCGCCGGGGGACAAAGGCGGCGGGAACGUGGCUCCCCAGGGAGUGUUAUAGCCCGCCGCGCAAUGCCCCGGGGGCGGACUGAGGCCCGCGCGUCACCGCAAGGAUGCUGGCGUAAUGGUCAUCAGCGACCCGUCUUGAAACACGGACCAAGGAGUCGUCCUCGUAUGCGAGUGUUGGGGCGUCAAACCCCCCGCGCGUAAUGAAAGUGAACGGCAGGUGAGAGCCCUCGCGGGCGCAUCAUCGACCGAUCC